GACCUUCGGGUCUAGUGGCGCACGGGUGCGUAACGCGUGGGAAUCUGCCCUUGGGUUCGGGAUAACAGUUGGAAACGACUGCUAAUACCGGAUGAUGACUUCGGUCCAAAGAUUUAUCGCCCAGGGAUGAGCCCGCGUAGGAUUAGCUUGUUGGUGAGGUAAGAGCUCACCAAGGCGACGAUCCUUAGCUGGUCUGAGAGGAUGAUCAGCCACACUGGGACUGAGACACGGCCCAGACUCCUACGGGAGGCAGCAGUGGGGAAUAUUGGACAAUGGGCGAAAGCCUGAUCCAGCAAUGCCGCGUGAGUGAUGAAGGCCUUAGGG
rnacentral:rRNA from 1 species